CUACUGAGCAACGUAAAAUUGGAGGUCCUACUAUACUUGCUGAUAUAUGGAAUUUAUGUGAAGGAGAAGAUUUGCCAAAAUAAUUUAAUAUUUAUAAUCAGUGUGUUGAUGAUGGUGACCUUGAAUAUUUUUGUGGUACUGUGGCAAGAAAUCCCAAUUUAACACCACUUGAAUUUGAUGAUUGGAGGAAAGUUCCAAUGGAAUACAAAGAUGAGAUAUGGAGAGUUGUGAAAGUAAGUUAUUAU
rnacentral:lncRNA from 1 species